rnacentral:misc_RNA from 1 species
GAUGAAGAACGUAGCGAAAUGCGAUAAGUAGUGUGAAUUGCAGAAUUCAGUGAAUCAUCGAAUCUUUGAACGCACAUUGCGCCCUUUGGUAUUCCAAAGGGCAUGACUGUUCGAGCGUCAUUUGUACCCUCAAGCUUUGCUUGGUGUUGGGCGUCUUGUCUCUAGCUUUGCUGGAGACUCGCCUUAAAGUAAUUGGCAGCCGGCCUACUGGUUUCGGAGCGCAGCACAAGUCGCACUCUCUAUCAGCAAAGGUCUAGCAUCCAUUAAGCCUUUUUUUCAACUUUUGACCUCGGAUCAGGUAGGGAUACCCGCUGAACUUAAGCAUAUCAAUAAGCGGAGGA